GUUCAUAGCACGUUGAAACACCAGUUCUCAUAUGGUCACCGAAGUAAAGCAACAUUGAAUCUGGUCAAUAUCUAGAUGGGUGACCACUUGGGAAUACUAGGUGCUGUAAG